GGAGAGGAUGAAUCGCAAACGUAUAAAAUUGGUCGCAGGCGCUCCCUACGCUCUUUUCGUUCAUCGCCAGAUAGUUCUCGUCACUGAUGUUUUAUUGUGAAGAGAUGGGCACGGAUUUGUUUUUCGCUCCUGAAGGCUUCAGCCACCCUCCCUGAGGAAUGGACCUCUGUGUGAAUGUAAUGGGCCUUUUCCACCGACCAAACUGGCAUGGAAUGGGAAGGAUCGGGUCGCUAUAAGGUUUGGGCUCUUGCAGAAGCGUGCCACAAGGAAACCUUGCAGGUGAACUGGACUGAAGACUAGACACUAGAAGGAAAUGGCACACAUCAAGGCACCAGUCCACCUGUGAUCGUAAGCUGGACUCUGCUACAUGGGUUCCACAGACUGACCUACUUAAGGUGCAGUGGCAGCGGGCCGAGGGGUUGCCAUGGAGCUGAGCCAGAAACGUUGGUAGACUGCUUUUUGGGAGCAGGGGCCUGCUAAAACUUUUAAUGUUUAAUGUGACAUUUUCAAUAAAGACUAAAAUAAC